rnacentral:rRNA from 1 species
UACGUAGGUGGCAAGCGUUGUCCGGAUUUAUUGGGCGUAAAGGGAACGCAGGCGGUCUUUUAAGUCUGAUGUGAAAGCCUUCGGCUUAACCGAAGUAGUGCAUUGGAAACUGGAAGACUUGAGUGCAGAAGAGGAGAGUGGAACUCCAUGUGUAGCGGUGAAAUGCGUAGAUAUAUGGAAGAACACCAGUGGCGAAAGCGGCUCUCUGGUCUGUAACUGACGCUGAGGUUCGAAAGCGUGGGUAGCAAACAGG